rnacentral:rRNA from 1 species
CCUCCACGACUGACGAGGAUGCAAGCGUUAUCCGGAAUGAUUGGGCGUAAAGCGUCCGCAGGUGGCAGUUCAAGUCUGCUGUCAAAGACCGGGGCUUAACUUCGGAAAGGCAGUGGAAACUGAACAGCUAGAGUAUGGUAGGGGCAGAGGGAACUCCAUGUGUAGCGGUGAAAUGCGUAGAUAUAUGGAAGAACACCAGUGGCGAAGGCGGCUGUCUGGUCUGUAACUGACGCUGAGGCUCGAAAGCAUGGGUAGCGAACAGGAUUAGAUACCCUGGUAGUCCAUGCCGUAAACGAUGAAUGCUAGGUGUUGGAGGGUUUCCGCCCUUCAGUGCCGCAGCUAACGCAUUAAACAUUCCGCCUGGGGAGUACGACCGCAAGGUUGAAACUCAAAGGAAUUGACGGGGGCCCGCACAAGCGGUGGAGCAUGUGGUUUAAUUCGAAGCGUCGACGCGGCCG